GCAAACAGGAUUAGAUACCCUGGUAGUCCACGCCGUAAACGAUGUCGACUUGGAGGUUGUGCCCUUGAGGCGUGGCUUCCGGAGCUAACGCGUUAAGUCGACCGCCUGGGGAGUACGGCCGCAAGGUUAAAACUCAAAUGAAUUGACGGGGGCCCGCACAAGCGGUGGAGCAUGUGGUUUAAUUCGAUGCAACGCGAAGAACCUUACCUGGCCUUGACAUCCAGAGAACUUAGCAGAGAUGCUUUGGUGCCUUCGGGAACUCUGAGACAGGUGCUGCAUGGCUGUCGUCAGCUCGUGUUGUGAAAUGUUGGGUUAAGUCCCGCAACGAGCGCAACCCUUAUCCUUUGUUGCCAGCGGCUCGGCCGGGAACUCAAAGGAGACUGCCGGUGAUAAACCGGAGGAAGGUGGGGAUGACGUCAAGUCAUCAUGGCCCUUACGGCCAGGGCUACACACGUGCUACAAUGGCGCAUACAAAGAGAAGCGACCUCGCGAGAGCAAGCGGACCUCAUAAAGUGCGUCGUAGUCCGGAUUGGAGUCUGCAACUCGACUCCAUGAAGUCGGAAUCGCUAGUAAUCGUAGAUCAGAAUGCUACGGUGAAUACGUUCCCGGGCCUUGUACACACCGCCCGUCACACCAUGGGAGUGGGUUGCAAAAGAAGUAGGUAGCUUAACCUUCGGGA
rnacentral:rRNA from 2 species